rnacentral:rRNA from 1 species
GACGAACGCUGGCGGCGUGCUUAACACAUGCAAGUCGUACGGUAAGGCCCUUUCGGGGGUACACGAGUGGCGAACGUGUGAGUAACACGUGAGUAACCUGCCCACAACUUUGGGAUAACGCUAGGAAACUGGUGCUAAUACUGGAUAUGUGCUCCUGCUGCAUGGUGGGGGUUGGAAAGCUCCGGCGGUUGUGGAUGGACUCGCGGCCUAUCAGCUUGUUGGUGGGGUAGUGGCCUACCAAGGCGGCGACGGGUAGCCGGCCUGAGAGGGUGACCGGCCACAUUGGGACUGAGAUACGGCCCAGACUCCUACGGGAGGCAGCAGUGGGGAAUAUUGCACAAUGGGCGCAAGCCUGAUGCAGCAACGCCGCGUGCGGGAUGACGGCCUUCGGGUUGUAAACCGCUUUCAGCAGGGACGAAGCUUUUUGUGACGGUACCUGCAGAAGAAGCACCGGCUAACUACGUG